AGGGCUGUAAAGCUGUCCAAGUGACCACAGUAUCAAGCUUCUGUUCAAUGGCUAGAAAACUUUACCAAAGAAAACUCCUUCAGAAGUUCAGACAAAAGCAGGCAGAAAGAAAUUUGCCUACGAAAAGCCCAUUAGCUCUGAAGAAGUUCAAGCUGCUCCACAUGUGUGCUCACCAAGGGCUUUCUGAAGGGACUACACUCCAUCCAUGGUUUUAGAUGAAGGUCCAUGGGCAUCUGGGAACAUUUUCAGAGACCAGGUCCAGCAAGUGCUAUCUGAGGACCUACUAUGGGCCAAUCACUGAAACAGAUGCUGGAAUUCAAGGAUAAAGAAGAUUCAUCCCUGUUUCCCAGAGCUCACAGUUCUCAGCACAAAAUGAAGAAGGGGACAGAGCACCCACUGAGACUCAGGGAUAGCUGGUCACUAAGCUGAACCUUGAGUGACAAAGAAAGUUACACUGUGUCUCCCAGGGAAAUUGCUAUUUCUCACAAAGAAUCUAAAGACGUAAAAGCCUGUGAGAGCACUGUGCGUGGGCUGUUGUGAGACAAGCAGUCCUUAUCAGGGGUUCAGAUAAGACAAACUUUCUUCCC